ACGAUCACCAUUCACUAACAAUUUCUUAAUAACUAUCUCUAUUCUAUCAUCUAUAUAUGUGUGAUGUUGUCUGUCGAUUGCUCCACACAAAAGAAAAAAUAGCAGUUUUUCUCCUAAAAUCCACAAACCCGAUGUUGGCAUGCAACGUCUCUUCUCCGAGUUAAAUAGCUUAUCCAUUUAACAUUCCUUUGUUUCUAUUGCUCAAAUUUUCGGGAUUUCACACUAUUCUCAACUUUUUUUACUAUGGCCUCUGUUUAUCAAGCCUUGCUCACAUGCAAGAUUUAUCUUGGAAGAACGUAGGGUUUACUUCUCUUUCAAAAAAUCUGAAAGCAUGAGAGACAAAAGAUUCAAGCUAGAUGUGUAUACAUUGAAUUUCACGUAAGUAUUGUAUUUUAUUAUUUUAUUAGAUUAAUUUUCUUCCUACUUCUAAUGUGUAUUCUUAUUAUUAUUUUUAUCAAAAUAGAAAUGGAAUAUAUCGAACUUUUUCUUUUAUCUCUCAGGUUACUCUCUAAAAAUCUUUAUUUUAUUAUUUUGUAUAACAGAAAUCAAGAACGAAGGAACAAAAAACAAGCAAUGGAUCAUACAUGAGCCAUGGCAUAUUUUUUUUUUUUUGGUUUUAUAGAUGAUACAUGGAAGAAGUUCACGUGAGUAUUGUAUUUUAUUAUCUUAUCAGAUUAAUUUUCUUCCUACUUCUAAUGUGUAUUCUUAUUCUUAUUUUUAUUUUGCAUGGUUGUCCUCUUUUGGUUUAUGUCUGUUUUGUAUCAUUGCUACCUACAUAGCAACUACUCUCUCCGUAUUUUAAUAAGUGUCGUUUUAGGAUUUUCUUUUUUUAAAAAUUAGAUGUCGUUUUCAAAUUUCUAUGC
rnacentral:lncRNA from 1 species